rnacentral:rRNA from 1 species
UACGUAGGGUGCAAGCGUUGUCCGGAAUUAUUGGGCGUAAAGAGCUCGUAGGCGGUUUGUCACGUCUGCUGUGAAAACCUGGGGCUCAACCCCGGGCCUGCAGCCGAUACGGGCAAGCUAGAGUUCGGCAGGGGAGACUGGAAUUCCUGGUGUAGCGGUGAAAUGCGCAGAUAUCAGGAGGAACACCGGUGGCGAAGGCGGGUCUCUGGGCCGAUACUGACGCUGAGGAGCGAAAGCGUGGGGAGCAAACAGG